UUGACAUCCCGAUGCUAUUUCUAGAGAUAGAAAGUUACUUCGGUACAUCGGUGACAGGUGGUGCAUGGUUGUCGUCAGCUCGUGUCGUGAGAUGUUGGGUUAAGUCCCGCAACGAGCGCAACCCCUAUUGUUAGUUGCCAUCAUUCAGUUGGGCACUCUAGCGAGACUGCCGGUAAUAAACCGGAGGAAGGUGGGGAUGACGUCAAAUCAUCAUGCCCCUUAUGACCUGGGCUACACACGUGCUACAAUGGUUGGUACAACGAGUUGCGAGUCGGUGACGGCGAGCUAAUCUCUUAAAGCCAAUCUCAGUUCGGAUUGUAGGCUGCAACUCGCCUACAUGAAGUCGGAAUCGCUAGUAAUCGCGGAUCAGCACGCCGCGGUGAAUACGUUCCCGGGCCUU
rnacentral:rRNA from 1 species